UACGUAGGGGGCAAGCGUUGUCCGGAUUUAUUGGGCGUAAAGAGCGUGUAGGCGGCCACACAGGUCAGCUGUGAAAACUCGAGGCUCAACCUCGAGACGUCGGUUGAAACCGUAUGGCUAGAGUCCGGAAGAGGAGAGUGGAAUUCCCGGUGUAGCGGUGAAAUGCGCAGAUAUCGGGAAGAACACCUAUGGCGAAGGCAGCUCUCUGGGACGGUACUGACGCUGAGACACGAAAGCGUGGGUAGCAAACAGG
rnacentral:rRNA from 1 species